rnacentral:rRNA from 1 species
UACAGAGGGGCAAGCGUUGUUCGGAAUUACUGGGCGUAAAGAGCUCGUAGGUGGCUUGCUAAGUCAGGUGUGAAACCUCCAGGCUCAACCUGGAGCCGCCACCUGAUACUGGUAUGGCUAGAGUCCGGUAGGGGACCACGGAAUUCCUGGUGUAGCGGUGAAAUGCGCAGAUAUCAGGAGGAACACCGGUGGCGAAGGCGGCUUGCUGGGCCAGUUCUGACGCUGAGGAGCGAAAGCGUGGGGAGCGAACAGG